UUGACUUGCUAAAAAUGGAAA
rnacentral:piRNA from 1 species